UGGAGUAUAGCCAAGCGGAAAGGCAAUAGUUUUUGAUACUAUCAAUCAAAGGUUCGAAUCCUUUUACUCCAU
rnacentral:tRNA from 1 species